AUGUCGAUGGUCAACACACGCGCCGGCGCCGAGAUCGGAGACGACGCCCUGCGCGAAGUCUUCGUGCGCCUGCCGGGCCUACGGGACCUACUCCACUGUGCGGCCACCUGCAAGCGGUGGCGCCGCGUCGUCACCGACCGGGACUUCCUCCGCCGCGCCGGCCUCUGGCCGGACACCGCGCGCCGCCCCUGCGUCCUCGCCGGGAUCUUCUCCCAGAACUAUUAUGCCCCCUGCAAUUACAUGACAAAAGAUGAUCCAUACGAGCCUCCACGGUUCCUCAGCCUUCAGGCCGGCCUUGACGUGCAUCGUGGUACCUUCGACUCCUGCGUCACCGUCCACAGCGGUAACCAACAGCUCUUUGGCCACGCGAGGCCGCUUGCGGCGCGCCGCGGUUUCCUCCUCGCGCGUGCUGUGCUGCUUUCUUCCUCGCAGCAGCAGGGAGACGGCGACUGCGGCCCGCAGAAGCUCAACCUAGCGGUGUGCCGCCCUCUGCUUGACAGAAGGAGCACGCAACAUCUCCCGCCGACUCCCUUCAACAAGACGUCCAACUUGGACUAUGCCUUGGAAGGCUGUGCGAUUAUCACGGCCACCAAUCACGCCGUCGUCGGUGAUGGUUCCAACUUGGGCCGCAAACAGGAGCAGCAGGCACCAACAGUCGUGGACAUUGGAGGGGAGGCGGCUAAAGGUAUGCACGACUCGAACACGGAUCUGCUGAAGCACGGGCGUGGGAGCGACAGGGCGGCGCCGCAAUACACGCGGUUGGAGCCUGGCAUAGAGAGCGUGUCGGGCACCAUGAGGAGCGGCAGUGCCAAUGACGCCAUUAGCAACGCCACCAGGAUCGCCAUGGACGGCUUUCCCCGCCUCCUGCCCCGCCCCGUCAUCCUGUUUGCCAUGUAG
rnacentral:rRNA from 1 species